rnacentral:rRNA from 1 species
CUGACACAGGGAGGUAGUGACAAUAAAUAACAAUGCCGGGCCUUUACUGGUCUGGCAAUUGGAAUGAGAACAAUUUAAAUCCCUUAUCGAGGAUCAAUUGGAGGGCAAGUCUGGUGCCAGCAGCCGCGGUAAUUCCAGCUCCAAUAGCGUAUACUAACGUUGCUGCAGUUAAAAAGCUCGUAGUUGGAUUUCUGGUGGGAGCGAUCUGUCUUCACACUGUGAGGUACUUGAUUGUCUCCAGCCAUCCUUGGGAAAAUGCUUCCUGGCAUUAGGUUGUCGGGUAGUGGAUUCCCAUCUUUUACUGUGAAAAAAUUAGAGUGUUCAAAGCAGGCUUAUGCCGUUGAAUAUACUAGCAUGGAAUAAUAAUAUAGGGCCUUGGUACUAUUUUGUUGGUUUGCGCACCGAGGUAAUGAUUAACAGGGACAGUUGGGGGUAUUCGUAUUCAGUUGUCAGAGGUGAAAUUCUUGGAUUCACUCAAGACUAACUUAUGCGAAAGCA